UUAAUGGACCAAAAAUAAUGUAAAUUAAUUAUUAUAUCACGUUGUCAAAUAAAACUUUCAGAUUACCUGAAAAAUCAAUAGCAUAAGAAGUGUGACUAAACCAUCAAGUUUGGAGCUAAUUAUCACAUAUAUUGUACUUAUGUGUUACAGCUAAUAAAUAUGUUUAAAAUGUGUUACAAAAAAGAAAAAUACCUUAAAAAUUGACUACAUUGUUUUUAAUGUUAGGAAGUGUUUGCUGAUUUAAUCAAGUAUUUUCUUGAAGUAAACUUUUAAUUUUUGUUUUCAAUUUGGUACAAUCUUACUCAUUAGAAUCCAAAAUAAUAUUUUUAUUGUUUAUAUUAACCUUAUAUUACCUUUUGUGAAUAUUUAUAAUUAACCUUCAUAAUCAGACAUUUGAGAAUAUGUUUUUUUUUUUUAAUAAACAAAACAGCAUAAUUUAUCACUAUGAAUGAGGGGCCCCAUUUACUGUUAAUCGCUCACUUUUGCUUGAACAGAGAAGUAGUUUUUUUGAUCCCCAAAAGGUAAUUUAGUAGUUAAUCUUUCUCUUUACCCUAUUUGCUUUGAUUUUUUGUUUAAAUAAUGUCAGUGUUAUGAUUUGAAAGGUUGCCACCACUGAAGAGACCAGGAAAGAUCGCAUCAUUUCAGGACAUUUCACCAAGUUUGGAGGCAGAUAGGUCACUUUGCUGUUUCUUCAAGUAUGAUAGCCAGCUAAGUAAGUUACCUUUCUACAAGCUGAUGGGUAACAUUCCAAAGUCAAGACUGAAACCCUAACAGGACUGACUUUAAAUACUUUUUUUAUAUGAGUUGUAUUUUAGUGAUUGUUUUUAAUUAAUGACAUCUCGUUUGGGAGAGUCAUGGGUGAGAUUAGGUUAAGGAUCUCUGUGCCAGGCCAUGCAGAGGAGAACAGUUGUGCAGCCUGUGGUCCCCAUCAAAUGUUACUGCAGAGUGUGUGCUAGACUUCGAAUCACGAAGGCUACAUGCAUUUUGUGAGGAAGCUUUUGAGUGCUGCAUCAUUUUCUUAACACAGAGUUUCUCAUACCCAGAUAGUCCACUUGCCUUCUGUCAGAAAUAGGUGUUCAGUCAAAAUGAAGUUCCUGAAAUUCUCUAAUAGCUGGGAUUUCUGAUGUGUGCCACUACCUGGCUUGGUAGUAUGUUUUGAUCUUUUCUGUAAAAGAGAUUUUUGUGUUUGCUCAAGUGUAUUACUUCCUAGUAUUUUAUAAAUUACGAUGUUCAUAUUCUUGGAAUUGUAACUUCUUGUCUUUGGAGGAAAAAUACGAAUUUUUUAAUAUUGUAGAUCAGUUUUGUAUUUUGAAUAUUUUAUCUAUUCCUUGAAUAUUAGAGUUCCUUCACCAUGUCAUAAAAUCAGAGUAAAGUUGAAAUAGACUUUCUUAGUUUCACUGGCAAACAUCAGGUUGGAAGUCUUUUUUAGAAAUCUACCUUAAUCUCUUAAAUGUGAGAGUUCUGAGUUUUCUCUAUUUUUAUAAAAAGAGUAUAGUUCCAAUGUAAAAACAUUAUUGCAUGAAAAAUAAUUUGUUUCAAUGGAAAUUUUUGGUUUCUCACAUUAAAUAAAUUGACGCAGCAAAAUACCAGUACAUCUUCCAACUUUUUAAAUAUUGGAGACUGGCAUGAUGGCAUAUACCUGUAAUUCCAGCACUUGGGAGGCUGAGGCAGGAGGAUUGCAGUAAGUUCAAAGCCAGCCUGGGCUACAAAGUGAGUUCAAGGCCAACCUGAACUGCAUAGUGAAAACCUGCCUCAAAACAAAACAAACAACAAAUUAAAUAUCAGAGAUAUUUAAGAAAAUUUUAUUAAGAUUUCUAUUUCUCAUUCAUGACUCCUUAAAAAAUUUUUAUUAAGCGGUUUUUGUGUCUCAUACAUGACUCCUACAGUUUUAACUACGUACCUGUAAUUACAGGAAGUUGCAUUAUCCAUGCAUGAAUUGCUUGGAGGAGCUUUUAAAUAGCUGCCUACACUUAAUUUUAUCAUAAUAUAUGUAAAAUCAGUAGGGAACAUGACACCCGCUCCCCCCCAAAAAUCUAUUUGAAGCAUAAUUAUGUAAACCUUUUGUUUUGCUACUUGAGUUUUGUGGUGUGGAUAAGGCCUAUCACUGUUAACGCAAAGGGCUCUAUCAUUGAGUCACACCCCAGACCAGUUAUAGUAAGACAAGUUUUGUUGCUUAAGUUUACUUACAUUCAUGAAAUACUUCUGAUUCUAUUUACCUUAUGACUUGGAUCAUUAAUAUUAGAAACGGCUAAUAAUUAAGUUUUUAUAAAAAUAAUGUUGGCUUACCCAGGCAUAGUGGUACACCCUCUAUAAUCCCAACUACUAGGGAGGUUGAAGCAGGAAGAUUGCAAUGCUGCAAGUUUGAGUCUAGCUUCUCAAAAUUAAAAAAAAAAAAGAGGGGAGUGAUGGAUAUAACAUAGUACUCUCAGUUUCAGUCCCCAGUAAUUUUAAUGGUAAUGAGUUUGCACAUCUGCCUUUCCCAGGUUGUAUUUAAGUAUGUGCAUUCUUAACUGGUUCCCACCCUAAAUUUACCAGUCCAAUUUCUUACCUACAUCCUUUCUUUUUCUCUCCAUCCAGCUCUACACAUCUAUUUUAGUAAGUCUUUUUUGGGAAUUUUGAUGUCCAAUUCUAGUUAAAAACCAGUGUUGCAAGGAGGUGUGACAAUGGAGAAUCAUUAGUCUUUCUGCAGUGACAGGGAAUAGGGCUCUCUGCCACUCCAGAUACUUCUGCUCUGCAUGCUUAUACUUACAAGAAAACAUUGAUGUAUUGUCUUAAAAGUUUUCAUUUUUGGGGAACUUGAAUAUGAUUGUUUUGGAGCUCUUGUUAUGUGCACAUGAAUAUAUGAUUUCUUUAUGUGACAAGAUUCCAAAUUAGUGAAGUCAUUUACUCAGUUCUAGUUCCCUCUUCAUCCAAUUACAUGAAAAUCUCAUAGUUGACUUAGAAGAUGUCCUGUUUUCCCCAUGGUGCCUUAGUUUAGACUUCAUUAAUUUUUCCUCUACAUUGUAUUUGCUGAGUUAAGGUUCUACGUUGUUUGAGGUUUCAUGAAGUUGUGUGAACCAAUCAUCAUUCUCUGAAAAAUGCUUAAUCAUGCAUGGAGACCCACAGGAAAUAUUAAAAUUGAAAAAUCUUAAACCUUUUAAUGGACUUUAUGGUAGAAUGUGGACUGUGUGAAAUCAAGCCCAGAUAAUCCUUUUUUCAAGAACCUGACUCAGUACUAGACUUCAUGAAGUCUUUCCAGGACGCCUUCAUAUGUAGGUAAAGAUCAGAAUCACUUAGGGUGCUUUGGAAAUACACAUUUCCCUGUCGCCUUAAAGACUUACUGGAUUAGAAACAUCAGAUUUUAAAUGUUGGCCUUUAUCUGUAUUUAAAAAAAAAAACCACAAGAGAUUCUGAUACAUACCCCCUUACUUCUAGAGCAGAAAAUGUUCAAGAUUGAUAAGAUUUCUUCAGAUGUUUUAAAUACAUAGUUGAGAGCACAUCGAGUUUGUUAGUUAUUUUCUGUUGGUUUUAACUGUGUAGUAGAAUAGAGCAGUAUUCUCACUCAGUGAACUUUAAAAAUGUAAUUUACUUUUAAAAAGUAAUUUAAUCUGAGUUAGGUAAAGAAAAUCACAGUUAGGCCUGGUCUGAGCCAUGGACUGGACACAGGUUUUUUCUGCUGCAAUAGGCAUUAAUCUGUAAAUGUUGGUUGUGGAGAGGUCCUCAGUUUGCUUGGAGGAGAUGCGGCAAGGCAAUUCAUAAGCUGGUACUGUUUUGUUUAUUUUUUAUAGCAAAGAAUAUUUUGGUACCAAUGCAUGUAACAGUCCUACAAGAAAAUGGUGAUGAUUAAGUAUGAUAGUUUGAACUGCUUUAUUUAGUUCGUAUGGACAGUUUUGUUUCAUUGUGCUCUAAGUCACUGCUGGGACUUAGACAAAAUUCAUAGAAAAUGGAGCAUAGAGUUUUCAUGUAUUUCUUAAUUCAUGUUUCUUAGUUUUAUUUCACAUAAUUCUUAGUUUUGUUUGCCAUUAGCCUUCUGGUGUUUGACACACGCAUUGUAUUUGGGUUUUUCACAAUGAGGAGAGAAGAGACUAGUGGGAGGAAAAACUGGAAAGAUGGAUUUGAACAUCCUUAUAAAGCAAAAAUAGGCAAUGGAGCGUUUAGACUUAAUUAUUACUUCUACCUCUGGAGAACCUGUGAGCAGGAGCACCAAAGCUUAAUUAGAUCUUGGAACUGUGGUUUGCAACCUUUUUUUUUUUUUUUUUAAAUAGCAGAAUUCACAAAGUCUAGAUAUAGUCCCCACAUCUAAUCAUAUAAUACAGACAAACUGGCAUUUAUAAGUACAAGUCUGUUACGUUAGCUCAAGAAGGUAUUCAGUGAAAAUACGGAGGCUAAAUGUUAGGUAUUUUGUUCAGUACAAUAGCUUGAAAUUGGUAGGUGAAAGAUAAAAAUUAGUCUUAUAUUUCUUAGUCUCUUGUUCUAUAUUUUGUUAAUCAUAAUGAAAAUCAUGUUUCACAUUGAUAAGUUGUGCAUUUAUUCAGUUCUGAGUACUUGUGCAUGUAAAUAAAGAUUAUUGCAGAUUCACUUUCUUCCAAAAAAAAUCAUUAAUAUGUGCAGUGGUUACUGAAGUUUUUUGAGGGCUGAAUGAAAAUAACACAGAUUAAGUAUGUUGGCAUUAACAAAAAAAUGCAUACUGGUUUGUGUUUGGUGAUUUAGUAAAUACAGAAAAAUAGUUAUUAUCAAAUCAAGCAUUUGGCGUAAUCCUGAAGCAUUUCUAGAGCACUAAUUAAUGUUUUUAAACUACUGGCAAAGAAGGCUUCUCUGUAGGAUGGAAUUUACCGGUACACAAUUUAAGGAAACUGGGUAGAGAUUUUUCAUUUGAACCACAAAACACAGAAAAUUCCAUGACUAUUUGCCAUUAUCCCAAAGAUAGUACAUAAUAGGUGCUAUUCCUUUCAUAAAGUAGGUGUCUUAGUUCAUCAGUGCUUACUUCUGGAACCCAAGCUGAGAAACCUAGGAAAAUGAGGCAUCUUUAUAAAGGAACUAUUAAUUAUGAAAAUGUCAGAUGCCUAUAAUCAAACAAGUACAGUUUUCAAGAUAGUGGAUGUUAUUGCUAUAUUGUUCUCCACAACGCUGAGCUCCAAGGCAAUUUUAUGACUGAAAAUGGAGAAUUUUUCAUAAUGCUGCCUAAAAAUAAGAAGGAAA